rnacentral:piRNA from 1 species
UCCUUUGCUGAAAGUGUUUGCAUAAAGAAG